rnacentral:rRNA from 1 species
GGUUAAGCGACUAAGCGUACACGGUGGAUGCCCUGGCAGUCAGAGGCGAUGAAGGACGUGCUAAUCUGCGAUAAGCGUCGGUAAGGUGAUAUGAACCGUUAUAACCGGCGAUUUCCGAAUGGGGAAACCCAGUGUGAUUCGUCACACUAUCAUUAACUGAAUCCAUAGGUUAAUGAGGCGAACCGGGGGAACUGAAACAUCUAAGUACCCCGAGGAAAAGAAAUCAACCGAGAUUCCCCCAGUAGCGGCGAGCGAACGGGGAGCAGCCCAGAGCCUGAAUCAGUGUGUGUGUUAGUGGAAGCGUCUGGAAAGGCGCGCGAUACAGGGUGACAGCCCCGUACACAAAAAUGCACAUGCUGUGAGCUCGAUGAGUAGGGCGGGACACGUGGUAUCCUGUCUGAAUAUGGGGGGACCAUCCUCCAAGGCUAAAUACUCCUGACUGACCGAUAGUGAACCAGUACCGUGAGGGAAAGGCGAAAAGAACCCCGGCGAGGGGAGUGAAAAAGAACCUGAAACCGUGUACGUACAAGCAGUGGGAGCACGCUUAGGCGUGUGACUGCGUACCUUUUGUAUAAUGGGUCAGCGACUUAUAUUCUGUAGCAAGGUUAACCGAAUAGGGGAGCCGAAGGGAAACCGAGUCUUAACUGGGCGUUAAGUUGCAGGGUAUAGACCCGAAACCCGGUGAUCUAGCCAUGGGCAGGUUGAAGGUUGGGUAACACUAACUGGAGGACCGAACCGACUAAUGUUGAAAAAUUAGCGGAUGACUUGUGGCUGGGGGUGAAAGGCCAAUCAAACCGGGAGAUAGCUGGUUCUCCCCGAAAGCUAUUUAGGUAGCGCCUCGUGAAUUCAUCUCCGGGGGUAGAGCACUGUUUCGGCAAGGGGGUCAUCCCGACUUACCAACCCGAUGCAAACUGCGAAUACCGGAGAAUGUUAUCACGGGAGACACACGGCGGGUGCUAACGUCCGUCGUGAAGAGGGAAACAACCCAGACCGCCAGCUAAGGUCCCAAAGUCAUGGUUAAGUGGGAAACGAUGUGGGAAGGCCCAGACAGCCAGGAUGUUGGCUUAGAAGCAGCCAUCAUUUAAAGAAAGCGUAAUAGCUCACUGGUCGAGUCGGCCUGCGCGGAAGAUGUAACGGGGCUAAACCAUGCACCGAAGCUGCGGCAGCGACGCUGAUGCGUUGUUGGGUAGGGGAGCGUUCUGUAAGCCUGUGAAGGUGUGCUGUGAGGCAUGCUGGAGGUAUCAGAAGUGCGAAUGCUGACAUAAGUAACGAUAAAGCGGGUGAAAAGCCCGCUCGCCGGAAGACCAAGGGUUCCUGUCCAACGUUAAUCGGGGCAGGGUGAGUCGACCCCUAAGGCGAGGCCGAAAGGCGUAGUCGAUGGGAAACAGGUUAAUAUUCCUGUACUUGGUGUUACUGCGAAGGGGGGACGGAGAAGGCUAUGUUGGCCGGGCGACGGUUGUCCCGGUUUAAGCGUGUAGGCUGGUUUUCCAGGCAAAUCCGGAAAAUCAAGGCUGAGGCGUGAUGACGAAGCACUACGGUGCUGAAGCAACAAAUGCCCUGCUUCCAGGAAAAGCCUCUAAGCAUCAGGUAACAUCAAAUCGUACCCCAAACCGACACAGGUGGUCAGGUAGAGAAUACCAAGGCGCUUGAGAGAACUCGGGUGAAGGAACUAGGCAAAAUGGUGCCGUAACUUCGGGAGAAGGCACGCUGAUAUGUAGGUGAAGUCCCUUGCGGAUGGAGCUGAAAUCAGUCGAAGAUACCAGCUGGCUGCAACUGUUUAUUAAAAACACAGCACUGUGCAAACACGAAAGUGGACGUAUACGGUGUGACGCCUGCCCGGUGCCGGAAGGUUAAUUGAUGGGGUCAGCGCAAGCGAAGCUCUUGAUCGAAGCCCCGGUAAACGGCGGCCGUAACUAUAACGGUCCUAAGGUAGCGAAAUUCCUUGUCGGGUAAGUUCCGACCUGCACGAAUGGCGUAAUGAUGGCCAGGCUGUCUCCACCCGAGACUCAGUGAAAUUGAACUCGCUGUGAAGAUGCAGUGUACCCGCGGCAAGACGGAAAGACCCCGUGAACCUUUACUAUAGCUUGACACUGAACAUUGAGCCUUGAUGUGUAGGAUAGGUGGGAGGCUUAGAAGUGUGGACGCCAGUCUGCAUGGAGCCGACCUUGAAAUACCACCCUUUAAUGUUUGAUGUUCUAACGUUGACCCGUAAUCCGGGUUGCGGACAGUGUCUGGUGGGUAGUUUGACUGGGGCGGUCUCCUCCUAAAGAGUAACGGAGGAGCACGAAGGUUGGCUAAUCCUGGUCGGACAUCAGGAGGUUAGUGCAAUGGCAUAAGCCAGCUUGACUGCGAGCGUGACGGCGCGAGCAGGUGCGAAAGCAGGUCAUAGUGAUCCGGUGGUUCUGAAUGGAAGGGCCAUCGCUCAACGGAUAAAAGGUACUCCGGGGAUAACAGGCUGAUACCGCCCAAGAGUUCAUAUCGACGGCGGUGUUUGGCACCUCGAUGUCGGCUCAUCACAUCCUGGGGCUGAAGUAGGUCCCAAGGGUAUGGCUGUUCGCCAUUUAAAGUGGUACGCGAGCUGGGUUUAGAACGUCGUGAGACAGUUCGGUCCCUAUCUGCCGUGGGCGCUGGAGAACUGAGGGGGGCUGCUCCUAGUACGAGAGGACCGGAGUGGACGCAUCACUGGUGUUCGGGUUGUCAUGCCAAUGGCACUGCCCGGUAGCUAAAUGCGGAAGAGAUAAGUGCUGAAAGCAUCUAAGCACGAAACUUGCCCCGAGAUGAGUUCUCCCUGACUCCUUGAGAGUCCUGAAGGAACGUUGAAGACGACGACGUUGAUAGGCCGGGUGUGUAAGCGCAGCGAUGCGUUGAGCUAACCGGUACUAAUGAACCGUGAGGCUUAACCUU